GGUACAUGGGCAGGCGGCGCUUCCUGGAGGCGGCCGCCCGGCGGCUGGCGGGCGCUUGCCCGGCCCAGGCGCGGUUUUUAAUGUGGACACUCAGCAACAUAGAAGGCAAAAAUGAGAACAAUGCAGAUCAAGUGUGCCGUUACUGUUUCCAGUUUCUUCUUCCUGGUAACCAUAGGGUACGUCUAAAACCCAAAAUGAGAAUAACACCACAGAUACAGAAGUUACUUAAUCUAGAAGCAAAGAAAUUCAAACUUAAUCUCAAACAAGGAAAACUGCUGAAGAAGUACAAAGAAUCAAAAAGUGUUCUGCUAAUCACUUGCAAUACGUGCAUGAAGACAACAAGGCAUUAUGGAAAAAGCAGAGAAUGUUGGAAUAUGAAAAUAUCAACCUUUGAAACUCCAACACCUUUGAAUAAAACUACACCUUUCAGCCACAGUCAUUCAGCAUCUAAAAGAAAGAAACUGACACCAGCUUCCAGAACUUCUACACCUGGGCAGUCAACACCUCGUUUCUCCUCCAAGAGUCCCAAAAACGCCAAAUCUAACUUCAGUCGACUGAAGAGGCUGCUUAGCCUUGAAGAGAAGAAAAAAAAUGAUAAAGGGGACCUGAAGAACUUCUUAUUGUCACUUUAAAAUCUUAAUCAACAUACCGUGUAAUUGAGGCCGUGAAAAGGAAUUCAGUUUGUUCAAGAAAUGGUUAUAUUGUAGAAGGAACGAAGAUUGUUAACUAAAAAAAGACCUGCCUACAACAAACACCCUGUGAGGUGGGUGGGGCUGAAAGAGCUCCAAAGAGCUGUGACUAGCCCAAGGUCACCCAGCUGGCUUCAAGCAGAAGAGUGGGGGAUCAAACCUGGCUCUCCAGAUUAGAGUCCUGCCACUCUUAACUACUACACCAAACUGGCUCCCUUCCUGAUACCUGAAUAGCUGCUGCCAUUCGGAGUAAACAGUACCAAUAAGCCAAUCCAAUAUCAGGCUGCCUUGAGUCACAGUAUAAAGGGGGUCUACAAAUUAAGUAAGUAGAUAAAUAUUUUUUCUCAUGCUAGAUUUAUAUUACUGUUUUUUAAUAUUUCAUUUUUUUAAUUUUUUUUUAUUUUUACAUUUUUAUUGAAGUAAAACAAGUGCAAUGUACAAACUUAUAUCCAUACAACAAGUAGGUUCAACAGUAACGAAGGGGGAGGAGAUGAAACAGGAGACAGUUAAAGCAGGAUACCUGUGUGUGAGACUAUAUCAGCUAUUCAUGUCAUUUUGGCCUGUUGGAACAGAGUUGUAAAUGGAGGUUCUUGGCCUGGAGGGAACCAAGUUUGGUUGAUAAAGGAUGAAAAUCUGGACUUCCCUGGGACUAGUUUAUCUUUGUAUUUAUCCCAUAACUGCAGUAUUGCUAAUAAAAACCUGUUGUUGCAAAUA